AGAGAGAGAACGCGCCAAAUUUACUCCAGGAAAAAAAAAAUGCACUUCUCACUCCCACUUAAGCAAUGUGAGUAAUGUUUCCUGGAAUCCAUUCCACUUUCCAAAUUUGACAGAUCCAAGGGAGGCAUUUUACUGAUGUUUAGUGAACAAAUGAAAUAAUAAAAGGAUAAAGUUUUAUUUAAAAAAUAGCCUUCUGUAUCUCUUCUCAGUCCAGUUCAACAAUGUAACAUUUACUGAGUACCAGCUUUGUCCCAGGUACUCUAAAAACCAGGGAUAUGGCGACCAAGUCAAGCAGCAGUUCCUGGAGCUCACAGACUAGGAUGUGAUACACAGGAAGAGCCAGACUGACGGGGUCAGGAAAGGUUUUUGGAGGAAGUGUCCAAAUCAAGGCCUGAAGGAUUAUUCAGAGCUGCUCAGUAGUUGCCACAGAGCUGCUGAUCCUGGCCCAUCACUGCUUCACGCUGACAUGCCACAUGGAGGGCAUCAUCCGAGUCUUGCAGGCUGCCCGGCUGCUCACAGACAACCACCUGGCCCCCAACGAGGAGUAUGGGCUGGUGGUGCGGCUCCUCACUGGCAUUGGAAGGUAUAACGAGAUGACAUAUAUAUUUGAUUUGCUGCAUAAAAAACACUACUUCGAAGUGCUGAUGAGGAAGAAGUUGGACCCGGUGGGUGUACAGUAUUUUGAGCUCUAAGAUGACAUGUAUUGUUGACAUUCAGGAGUCUCAGACUUUCUCAGGAAUACUCCCGGUCAGGGGGGGCCUGGGAUACGGAGGGAGGGAGUUAAGGACCUCCAUAGGACACACACUGUAACCAGUAGCUGAAGGUUCGAGUUCAGACCAAGCAGCGAUUAUGCUGACAGAUGCUAAAUAGGGAAGAAAAUUAGUUCAUGUGCCUCCACCUCAGCUGUCAGCGGCCUCCACUGUCCUAACGCCUGCUCUGACAGGUGCAAAAGCCUUCCCUUAGAGCCCUGUGGAAAUGGAUUGGCCAGCUCAGAAGGCCGCACCAGAGAGCUUUUAGAGUGGACAAUUUUCAGAGGACCAUGAAAACGUUUGUUGCUGAGAGCUAUUAGGAAGCGAAUGCCAAAGCCUGGGCUGGGAAAGCUGUGGUGCUGUUUCUGGCGACGACCAGGAAGGAGACUUGGAAGCUAAGGCCUGACCUGCCAGACCCACUGGGCUCUGGGCACUUGUCUGUCCUCCACAUGUGGCACCAACAUGUCACUCACAGAGCCUGUUUCCAAGUCAUUCAUUGCUUCAGCCCAUUCAUCUCUGAAGAUUUAAAAACCAUAGUACACUUUUGGCUUCUGGGAACUUAGGCCCAGCCAAGCAGGAUUAAAAGACAAAGCAGAAAAACUCUCAAUGCUGGGCUGAUUUCAGGCCAGGCCAGCGCAGUCAUCAGAAGAGGAGCAAGUCCGGGGCACCUGGGAUCCGCCCAAGGGUAUUUAAAUUGUUUUUGAGGCAUUUUUGUUUCUGUAUUUAAAUAGUCUUUUAAUACUUUUUUUUCCUCUGAUUACAAAAGUAAUGCAUAUUCAAUGUUAAGACACUUGGAAAACAGAACACAGAAAAAAGCCCUCUGUGUGUAUCUACCAUCUGGAGAUAGCUACUGCCAACAAUUUGGUAUAUGCCCUUUCUUUGCACACGUACCCACGUGUGUGUGUGUGUGUGUGUGUGUG